rnacentral:rRNA from 1 species
AGUGAACGCUGGCGGCAGGCCUAACACAUGCAAGUCGAACGGCAGCACAGUAAGAGUUUGCUCUUACGGGUGGCGAGUGGCGGACGGGUGAGGAAUACAUCGGAAUCUACUUUUUCGUGGGGGAUAACGUAAGGAAACUUACGCUAAUACAGCAUACGACGUACGGGUGAAAGCAGUGGAUAUUCUCACCUUUCGCGACUCAAUGAGCCGAUGUCGGACUCGCUAGUUGGGUGGGUAAAGGCCCACCAAGGCGACGAUCGGUUGCUGGUCUGAGAGGAUGGUCAGCCCACCUGGAACUGGGACACGGUCCCAGCUCCUGAGGGAGGCCACAGUGGGGAAUAUUGGACAAUGGGCGCAAGGCUGGUCCAACCAUCGCGCGUGGGUGAAGAAGGCCCUCCGGUUGGAAAGCCGUUUUGUUGGGAGAGAAACGCAUCAGGUUAAUACCCCGCUGUUCUGACGGUACCCUAAGAAUAAGCACCGGCUAACUUCGUG